UUUAUGCAUGGCAUAUUUGCAGUGUAACAUUUGCAAUUCACAUGUAUGUAAUAACUAAUAUACAUGCAUAUAUCUUUGUAAUAAACUAACUCGGUGUUUGAAAUCUCGGUGAGAUUUGAAAUUAAAAGGUAAAUAAUAAUUCUCUUAUUAUUAAAUUUCUAAAUUAUUGCAAGUUACAAGUACACAAAUGAAAUUUUAUUUCAAAUCCAAAACAUUUUUUUUUUCUUUUUCCUAAGUCCUUUUGGGAUUCGUUAAACCCUAACCCUUUUUUUGGGGAAAAAAAAAAAAAUCUAUAUUUGUGUUUUGCCGAGUAUCUGAAUAGCGAAAAGAUCAUUGUUGGAUCAUGAGCAAGCAGAGGAAGAAGAGGCCCGCGUACUGCAACAGAUCGAAGACGACGAUGAUGACAAUGCGUUGAUGGUGGCGUUGGCAAUGGUGCUGAUAACAAUGGUGAUGAUGGAGCGGAGGGCGAAGAAGAAAAAUAAGAAGAAGAAGCAGAGGAUUGAAGGUUUGGUUAGCGUCGAGUUUGAUGACAUCCCUUUUGUUUUAGUUAAGCAAAUGGAUUGUUAAAUUAUUGCGCAGUACUUAUUCUGUUUAUUUAGUAUAAUAAAUCUCAUUUACACUUUCUUUUUUUUUUAAUUAUUUUUGUAACAGAUAGAAUUUUUGAGUCCCAGAUUUUGGAUAACUUGGCCAUCUCACGCCUGAAGAUUAACACAAAAACUUUGCCCACCAAACGUUUGAUUAUUUGCUCAGGCCCUGUUUGGUAAGUGUGCUGUAGUGUGCCGUAAUGCUCCAGUAUGUGAACAAUAAGCCAUUUUCAGAACAAAAUACAUUUGGGCUGGGCUGUGUUGGUUCGAACAGUGGCAGAACAUUCUGUAAAAAAGGGCCAAAUCUUGGAACACCAAAUUUGUGUUCUUGCUUGUUCCGACUUUAUUUCAGGCCCACCAUUAGCUGUAGCUGGUGCAACAAAUGCACUCACUUGUUCUGAUUUGAGAACCACUAUAUACACAAAUUGUAACAUGUUCUAGGGCUAGAAGCCGUCUCGCAGGUUGCGGCGACUCCACUACAACUGAGGCAAUUCGUGGUGACCUCCUCUCGAUCUUCGUUGGUUUCAUGUCCAACAUACAAUCUUUCUUCUGUCUCUAAAAUUUUGAAUGUCUAUGAAGAUUGGGUUUCAAAUCAACGACUGGAACUUCAGAUCUGAAGAGCCAUGUGUUCAUCGCCUCUCUCUCCACUCUUCUCUGUUUUUCCGGCCGAUUUAGAGCAACGAGAAACACCGGCCGCCGUCUGCAACUUCCAGCUAGCUCCAGUCUUCUUCUCCGGCGACGGUUUAGCAAUAAAAGGUCCACUCUUCUUCUCCCCAAGCUGUCUAUCUCUAUUUCCUCAUCUCUCUCAUCUUGGGUAUAUUACAAAUUUAGUUUCAAUCCUAUAUACAAAAUUUUUCUAACUGAUUUUCAGUUGGAAUCGAAAAAAUAGAAGUCGAAUAUACGUCGGUUAACCAAAAAGCAAAUAGGAGGGUGUCCUUCAAUAUACUAAUCUGCAGGAGGUGGUCCAAUGGUUUGAAGCUCAAAGUUGCUAGAAAUCUGUUUUGUGCCAUUUUUUGGCAUACUUGAGACUAUUCGACAAUAGUUUGAUACGUCGGAGAUGAUAUGUAUCAUAGAUACAUCGGGGCUCCUACAUUGGACUUGCAAACACAUCUGGAUUAUGGAAAACUAAGGAAGAAUCAACUGAAUGAGUUCUUAAAUGUCAACUCCUCCAAUUUUUUUUCCCUGUACUCGUGCAUAGUAAUCAAAUUUACUUCUUAAUUCUGGUUCUGCUUA